rnacentral:rRNA from 1 species
AAUUUUGGACAAUGGGGGAAACCCUGAUCCAGCCAUCCCGCGUGUAUGAUGAAGGCCUUCGGGUUGUAAACUUCUUUUAUACAGGAGUAAAGUGAGUCACGUGUGACUUUUUGCAUGUACUGUAUGAAUAAGGAUCGGCUAACUCCGUGCCAGCAGCCGCGGUAAUACGGAGGAUCCAAGCGUUAUCCGGACUUAUUGGGUUUAAAGGGUUCGCAGGCGGAAGAUUAAGUCGGCGGUGAAAUUUGGCAGCUCAACUGUAAAAGUGCCAUCGAUACUGGUUUUCUUGAGUGUGGAUGAAGUAGGCGGAAUUUGUGGUGUAGCGGUGAAAUGCAUAGAUAUCACGAGGAACUCCGAUUGCGCAGGCAGCUUACUAGGCCAUAACUGACGCUCAGGCACGAAGGCGUGGGGAUCAAACAGG